CACGUAGGGCGCAAGCGUUGUCCGGAAUUAUUGGGCGUAAAGAGCUCGUAGGCGGUCUGUUGCGUCCGCUGUGAAAACUCGGGGCUUAACCCCGAGCCUGCAGUGGAUACGGGCAGACUAGAGGUAGGUAGGGGAGAAUGGAAUUCCCGGUGUAGCGGUGAAAUGCGCAGAUAUCGGGAGGAACACCGGUGGCGAAGGCGGUUCUCUGGGCCUUACCUGACGCUGAGGCGCGAAAGCUAGGGGAGCGAACGGG
rnacentral:rRNA from 1 species